rnacentral:rRNA from 1 species
GAUGAACGCUGACAGAAUGCUUCACACAUGCAGUCACCGAUUUUGCCGGACGGGUGAGUAACGCGUAUAUAACUUCCCUUACAGGUAGGGACAACAUCUGGAAACGAAUGCUAAUCUCUAACACUCUGAGAGAGCUUUGCGUCACAUUAUCUAGUUGGAGAGGUAACGGCUCACCAAGGAGAUGAUGGGUAUCCGGCCUGAGAGGGUGAACGGCCACAAGGGGACUGGGACACGGCACUUACUCCUACGGGAGGCAGCAGUGGGGAAUAUUGGACAAUGGACCAAAGGCUGAUCCAGCAAUGCGGUGUGCACGAUGAAGUUUUCGGAAUGUAAAGUGCUUUCAGUUGAGAAGCGGUACCAACAGAAGAAGUGACGGCUAAAUACGUGCCAGCAGCCGCGGUAAUAC